rnacentral:rRNA from 1 species
UGGGCAGCUAUACUGCAGUCGAGCGAUGAUUGAAGAUAGCUUGCUAUUUUCMUGAAGAGCGGCGAACGGGUGAGUAACGCGUGGGAAAUCUGCCGAGUAGCGGGGGACAACGUUUGGAAACGAACGCUAAUACCGCAUAACMAUGAGAAUCGCAUGAUUCUUAUUUGAAAGAAGCAAUUGCUUCWCUACUUGAUGAUCCCGCGUUGUAUUAGCUAGUUGGUAGUGUAAAGGACUACCAMGGCKAUGAUACRUAGCCRACCUGAGAGGGUGAUCGGCCACRCUGGGACUGAGACACGGYCCARACUCCUACGGGAGGCAGCAGUAGGGAAUCUUCGGCAAUGGGGGCAACCCUGACCGAGCAACGCCGCGUGAGUGAAGAAGGUUUUCGGAUCGUAAAACUCUGUUGUUAGAGAAGAACGUUAAGUASAGUGGAAAAUUACUUAAGUGACGGUAUCUAACCAGAAAGGGACGGCUAACUACGUGCCAGCAGCCGCGGUAAUACGUAGGUCCCAAGCGUUGUCCGGAUUUAUUGGGCGUAAAGCGAGCGCAGGUGGUUUCUUAAGUCUGAUGUAAAAGGCAGUGGCUCAACCAUUGUGUGCAUUGGAAACUGGGAGACUUGAGUGCASGAGAGGAGAGWGGAAUUCCAUGUGUAGCGGUGAAAUGCGUAGAUAUAUGGAGGAACAYCSRGAGGCGAMAGCGGCUCUCUGGCCUGUACUGACACUGAUGMUCGAAAGCGUGGGGAGCAAACAGGAUUAGAUACSCUGGUAGUCCACGCCGUACACGAYGAGUGCUAGCUGUAGGGAGCUAUARGUKCUYUUGYAGCGCWGCUAGCGCAUAGMCCUCGCUGGGKAGUACGAGCGCAAGCUGSAACUCGAWGAUGACGGGRUCCGMMCGAGCGUGGAGCAUGUGGUUMAUUCGAKUCACYKCGAARAACUUA